ACGUAAGGUUUCUUGCUUGGGAACGUCUCAUCGAAUCAGCCCUCGGAGCUAGAAACCUUCAAGACACCUUUGAUCCUCUCUUUCCCCUCACUCGCAACACCUCACUCAUUAUCAGGGUCAAGUGCUGUUACCCCAGAAAUGUCGCUUAAACCCAGCGGCUCCUGUCCACCCACACAGCCAGCACGCUGGUCCAUGCCUCAUCGUCUCCCAUUCAGAUGAUUGACAGCUCCCUUCGAUUCUGGCCACAAUGUCCCUUUCCAAUCCAGCAUCCAUCUCAGAUCGCCCUGCCGGAAUGACCCUGCUGAAGCACAGAUGUUACCGCGACACCCCCAGACACUAACCAGUAGCCAACAAUAUACCUCCUCUUGAUCGAAGGCUGAGAGAAACUGUAGAACGUUGACUAUGAUGGGAUCAUAGCUAGAAUAUGUACAUCUUUUCAGUGUGAUGUGCUGAGAAGUGCUAUCUAGGUAACUGUCCAUCACAUGAGAGCUGACCAGGCCUGGUUCACUGUCGUCUCCACAGUGCUCAUCGCAGAGC